UACCAGCACCCCGAGUGGUCGGGACGAUUAUUGGGCCUAAAGCAUCCGUAGCCGGCCUUACAAGUCCUCCGUUAAAUCCAGCUGCUUAACAGAUGGGCUGCGGAGGAUACUAUAAGACUAGGAGGCAGGAGAGGCAAGCGGUACUCAGUGGGUAGGGGUAAAAUCCGUUGAUCCAUUGAAGAACACCCGUGGCGAAGGCGGCUCUCUGGGACGGUACUGACGCUGAGACGCGAAAGCGUGGGGAGCGAACAGG
rnacentral:rRNA from 1 species